GACGAACGCUGGCGGCGUGCUUAACACAUGCAAGUCGAGCGGUAAGGCCCUUUCGGGGGUACACGAGCGGCGAACGGGUAAGUAACACGUGGGUGACCUGCCCUCAGCUCUGGGAUAAGCCUGGGAAACCGGGUCUAAUACUGGAUAUGACUCCAUGACGCAUGUUGUGGGGUGGAAAGCCUUGUGCGGCUGAGGAUGGGCCCGCGGCCUAUCAGCUUGUUGGUGGGGUGAUGGCCACCAAGGCGACGACGGGUAGCCGGCCUGAGAGGGCGACCGGCCACACUGGGACUGAGACACGGCCCAGACUCCUACGGGAGGCAGCAGUGGGGAAUCUUGCGCAAUGGGCGAAAGCCUGACGCAGCGACGCCGCGUGA
rnacentral:rRNA from 1 species